GAUAAAGUGCCUGAAUAAAAGGGCUAUUUUGAUAGAAUAGAUCAUGCAAAAUUUCUGCCUUUAUUU
rnacentral:tRNA from 1 species